ACUUUCCCAUCCACCCCUGGUACACACUCAAGAUGAGUCCGUCUCGGGUGUGUUGAGUAGUGUCUCAAUAAAACCACCAAUCCUCAGGGAAGCGCGAAUCAGAACACAGCAGCCUAUCACCUCACCUCGUGUAGAACGGCUCGCAAGAGAAGGAUGAAAAACAGCAAACACACUGCGGAGGUGGAGAAAUGGGGGACGUAGCGGUGAUCGCCAGCUCCUCUGCCUCUUCCUCCCCUUUCCCCUUCAUUCCUGCUAUCUGUAGCAAAGCUGUUUGCCCCUGCUCCUCGCUGCCUUAUUAGGUCUCUGCCAGGGGAGCAGCAAAAGCCUGGGGAUGAUGCUUCGCUUCUUGGAGACACCUCUCCGACAACCAGCCCAGAAAAACUCAGCACCGUCCUGACGCCUCACAAGCAGGUCCUCCCGAUGUAAGAGGGGCUCAGCUCUGCACUACACCACCCACCUCCUCUCAGUGCCGCAGCUGUGCUCAGGAAGGCAGAUCCACUGUGAAGAGGUGAGAAGUAAAAUGGAAACACUGUUCUGUCACGAAGGUCUGGAGAAGCUCCACAGCUUGCCCGUACCAUGGCUCUCUCCAGCUAGAAGCCUGGUCGAGAGCCGGCACAUCUGCAGAGCCUGGCUGGCUCCCUCUGUGGAGUGGUGUUACAGAAUGACCUGAGAAUGAAGCAAGUUUUCAACACAGAUCGUGAAUCACAUCUGAUCUACAGCUCACCAAGAAGCCUCGCCAUUGCCUGCCGGGGGAAGAGCUAGCGCUUUCGUGCUGACCCGCGAAUUCUUGCCUCCCUGCUUCCAAAUGCUUCUGUGUUUCUUCCACUUCCUGCUGCAGUUUGUAUGUAAAAGCACAUU